CGGGAGGCAGCAGUGGGGAAUAUUGGACAAUGGGCGCAAGCCUGAUCCAGCCAUGCCGCGUGGAUGAAGAAGGCCCUAGGGUUGUAAAGUCCUUUCACCGCCGAGGAUAAUGACGGUAGGCGGAGAAGAAGCCCCGGCUAAUUUCGUGCCAGCAGCCGCGGUAAUACGAAAGGGGCUAGCGUUGUUCGGAAUUACUGGGCGUAAAGCGCGCGUAGGCGGCCUUGUAAGUUGGGGGUGAAAUCCCGGGGCUCAACCCCGGAACUGCCUCCAAAACUAUAAAGCUAGAGGAUGUGAGAGGAUAGUGGAAUUCCGAGUGUAGAGGUGAAAUUCGUAGAUAUUCGGAAGAACACCAGUGGCGAAGGCGACUGUCUGGCACAUUUCUGACGCUGAGGUGCGGAAGCGUGGGGAGCAAACAGGAUUAGAUACCCUGGUAGUCCACGCCGUAAACGAUGAGGGCUAGUUGUCGGGCAGCAUGCUGUUCGGUGACGCAGCUAACGCAUUAAGCCCUCCGCCUGGGGAGUACGGUCGCAAGAUUAAAACUCAAAGGAAUU
rnacentral:rRNA from 1 species